rnacentral:rRNA from 1 species
UGAGGAAUAUUGGUCAAUGGGCGAGAGCCUGAACCAGCCACGUCGCGUGAAGGAAGAAGGUUCUAUGGAUUGUAAACUUCUUUUGCAGGGGAAUAAAUGACGGUACGUGUACUGUUUUGUAUGUACCUUGCGAAUAAGGAUCGGCUAACUCCGUGCCAGCAGCCGCGGUAAUACGGAGGAUCCGAGCGUUAUCCGGAUUUAUUGGGUUUAAAGGGUGCGUAGGUGGAUUGUUAAGUCAGUGGUGAAAGUUUUCAGCUCAACUGAAAAAUUGCCGUUGAAACUGUCGAGCUUGAGGUCAAAUGAGGUAGGCGGAAUGUGUUGUGUAGCGGUGAAAUGCUUAGAUAUAACACAUAACUCCGAUUGCGAAGGCAGCUUACUGGGAUGCAACUGACACUGAUGCGCGAAAGCGUGGGUAUCAAACA